GGAUGUAAGGACGAUCUGGCUGUGACAGCUGUCACCCCAUUUAUCCCCAGGGUUGAUUUGGCUCCUCUGGCUGGCUAGGCAGUGGUCCCCUUAUCCCCUCAUGACUCCAUGUGCAUUCCGCUGGAAGCUGAGUGCUCACUCGGUGGAAGAGGUUGACCUUCCCAGAUAGAGGGGAACUGUCUUUUGUUCAAGGGGAUGCAAGUAGCUGCGUUCCCUGCUAGAACCGCCAAACAAGCUCUCAAAGUCCCCAAAUGAGCCCUAGAUGUCAAAGAAAUGUAUAUCAUGUACAUAAUAUAUCUCUUU
rnacentral:snRNA from 1 species